UCAGGCAUGGUGUAGUGGGAACACAUUCUCUUCUUCUGUUGAAAGUUGCUGCUUACAGAGGCAAUCCAGGGUUCGAAUCCCUGUGUCUGAA